rnacentral:lncRNA from 1 species
CUUCAUCCCCUUGCCCUUCAUUAGAAUAGACAGAAACUGACUGUAUACAGGCUUUACUCCUUUAUAAUGUGCCAAAAUAAAACCCCAAAGCACAAAUCGCACAAACCAAGUCAUGCCACUGGGACCAUCGUGUGUCAUCUGAGCUAGCUGGGCCAUGCCAACUCCUACUCCAUCUUCUGCUUUUCCCUGCAUUCCUCAGGAAUGAGAGCUUCUGUGUGAGCAUUCAUAAGACAUCCUGCAUUCACGUCCACUGAUGUGUUUUCUUUUUUAAAAAACUAUGCACAUUUUAUUAGGAAUGUUUCAACCACAUAGAAAACAUAUAAUAGAAACCAAUAUAGACACCACAUAGACGUGGGCCAUGUUAACAUUCUACCGUUUGCUCAUUUUUUAAAUAAAACCUUUAUGAAGACAUUCACAUAGCAUGCUUUCACUCAUUGAAAUUGUACAAUUUGGGUUUUUCAUAGAAUUUGCCACCAUCACCACAUUAAAUAUAUUUAUAGAAUUUGCAACCAUCACUGCAUUAAGUCUACUUAUAGAAUUUGUAAGCAUCAUCACUAUAAACUUUAGAACAUUUUUAUCACCUCAAAAAGAAAACCCCUAGGCUGGGUGCAGUGGCUCACGCCUGUAAUCCCAACACUUUGGGAGGCCGAGGUGAGUGAAUCACUUGAGGUGAAGAGUUCAAUACCAGCCUGGCCAACAUGGUGAAACCCCGCCUCUACUAAAAAUACAAAAAUCAGCUGGGCAUGGUGGCACACAUGUGAUCCCAGCUACAUGAGAGGCUGAAGCAGGAGAAUCGCUUGAACCGGAGAGGCGGAGGUUGCAGUGAGCCAAGAUCGCGCCACUGCACUCCAGCCUGGUGACAGAGUGAGACUCUGUCUUAAAAAAAAAAAAAAGGCCUACACGAAAAAUAAUUAUUCUUUCUGCACUGUAUACAAAUAAUUAGGCCAAGUACAAUGAAG